rnacentral:lncRNA from 10 species
GACGGCCAGAAGUCCAGGGCUAGGAGCCUCAGCCGGCGGACGCCAGGAAACAGGAAAGUAUUUUAUCAGAAGAAUUCGUAGAAGUAGAAUCUGUUUGUCUUCAGUUAAACAAAAGAAGAACCUCAUUGCUUUCCAACUGGGCCCCGGCCAUUUUCCAGUUGAAACAUCAAAUAUUUUAUUUGUGUCUUUCACUGCCAAUUAAAGGGCAACAGAAAUGGUACAGGCUCCCUCUGCAGUGGAAUUACCCUUAUGUCUUUUCUGUCUAUGCUGAUCCACCUGAUCUUGAACUGGUGCUAUUCCAUGGGGAAAAUUGGAACAUGGGGCAAUUAACACUUUCUCCACUUUAUCCCAUCAACAGGAAAUUGAAAUAUAACCAACUAACUCAGGAGACAUCAUGGAAGAUGUCACACAGUGAAUGAUGAUGAAGCAGAAUUUUUAAAAUGUGUAGGAUUACGAGAAGUGGGGUCAUUUUUCUUUGUGUAUGGUAUUGCUGAUGCAGUUUAAUGCUCCAUUACUUCUAAAUUUUCAUCAUAAGCUAGAUUUUCCAGUUGUGGUUUCUAUAAAGAAAAACAAACAUUCUGAAGACAGUUUUUCCAGAUUUAUUCCAGAUAUCGAUGAUUAACUUUUGAAG